rnacentral:sRNA from 1 species
AUAAGGCCUUUUAGGAGCUCACUGACUUCAGGUUUCAUCGGAACUCCGAAGUUAAGUGAGUUCAGGCGAGAGCAUUCCCAGGAUGGGUGACCCAUUGGAAAGUUCUCGUGUGAGUUCCCAGAAACAAAACCGUGAGGGCAUGGUCGGAGCCCAAAGCGGACAAUAUCGUGGUACGGCGAAGUCGAACCCAAGAUGUGGUGGGGGCCCGGGUCGGGGAUGUGACAAUUUGGUAUCAGAGCCAAUUCCUGGCCGGAUGUGUGCUGACGAGGACGUCGGGCCCCUAAGGGGGGUGGAUUGUGACUUCCUACAUUGUCCAAGGGAGUGGAUCUUGUAAGCCUUAUAUGUAUAUUCCCAUCUCUACCUAGCACGAGGCUUUUUGGGAGCUCACUGGCUUUGGGUUCCAUCGGAACUCCGAAGUUAAGCGAGUUCGGGCGAGAGCAUUCCCAAGAUGAGUGACCCACUGGGAAGUUCUCGUGUGAGUUCCCA